CAAAAAGUAGCUUACACUAAAGCAUUCGACCUACAAUCGAACGACAUUUUACAAUCUUUUUGA
rnacentral:tRNA from 1 species